rnacentral:tRNA from 1 species
AACGAUGUAGUUUAUUUAAAAUAUUGAUUUUGCAGGUCAAAGAGUGGAAUGUGUUCUCGUUGUUA